GAUGAACGCUGGCGGCGUGCCUAAUACAUGCAAGUCGAGCGAAUGGAUUAAGAGCUUGCUCUCCGGAUUAGUGGCGAACGGGUGAGUAACACGUGACUAACCUGCCCCUUUCUCUGGGAUAACGCUCCGAAAGGAGUGCUAAUACCGGAUACGAACUCUGAACACAUGUUCGGAGUUGGAAAGUUUUUCGGAAAGGGAUGGAGUCGCGGCCUAUCAGCUUGUUGGUGAGGUAACGGCUCACCAAGGCGACGACGGGUAGCCGGCCUGAGAGGGCGACCGGCCACACUGGGACUGAGACACGGCCCAGACUCCUACGGGAGGCAGCAGUGGGGAAUAUUGCACAAUGGGCGAAAGCCUGAUGCAGCGACGCCGCGUGAGGGAUGAAGGUCUUCGGAUUGUAAACCUCUUUCAGUAGGGACGAAGCGAAAGUGACGGUACCUAAAGAAGAAGCACCGGCUAACUACGUGCCAGCCGCCGCCGUAA
rnacentral:rRNA from 1 species